rnacentral:rRNA from 1 species
AGGAAAGUAGGGGAUCGCAAGACCUUGCGCUUUUGGAGCGGCCGAUGUCUGAUUAGCUAGUUGGUGAGGUAAAGGCUUACCAAGGCGUCGAUCAGUAGCUGGUCUGAGAGGACGACCAGCCACACUGGGACUGAGACACGGCCCAGACUCCUACGGGAGGCAGCAGUGGGGAAUUUUGGACAAUGGGGGAAACCCUGAUCCAGCCAUGCCGCGUGAGUGAAGAAGGCCUUCGGGUUGUAAAGCUCUUUCAGCCGGAACGAAACGGUCACAGCUAAUACCUGUGACUACUGACGGUACCGGAAGAAGAAGCACCGGCUAACUACGUGCCAGCAGCCGCGGUAAUACGUAGGGUGCGAGCGUUAAUCGGAAUUACUGGGCGUAAAGCGUGCGCAGGCGGUUUUGUAAGUCAGAUGUGAAUCCCCGGGCUUAACCUGGGAACUGCGUUUGAAACUACAAGGCU